rnacentral:rRNA from 1 species
UACGUAGGUGGCAAGCGUUGUCCGGAAUUAUUGGGCGUAAAGAGCUUGUAGGCGGUUUGUCGCGUCUGCUGUGAAAUUUCGGGGCUCAACCCCCGAACUUGCAGUGGGUACGGGCAGACUAGAGUGUGGUAGGGGAGACUGGAAUUCCUGGUGUAGCGGUGAAAUGCGCAGAUAUCAGGAGGAACACCGAUGGCGAAGGCAGGUCUCUGGGCCAUAACUGACGCUGAGAAGCGAAAGCAUGGGGAGCGAACAGG